rnacentral:RNase_P_RNA from 15 species
AAAUUCUGGUAAUCGCUGCGGCGCUAGACGUCGUAGAGGAAAGUCCAUGCUCACACGGUACUGAGAUGUCCGUAGUGUUCGUGCUUACUGAAAAAAUAAGGUAAGGCAGCUGUUCAGGCUGACGGCGGAAGGAAAACCUAAGUCCUUGGAUAUGGUUGACACUUCCUGAAAGUGCCACAGUGACGAAGCUUGCUUGGAAACAUGCAAGGUGGAACGAGGUAAACCCCACGAGUGAGAAACCCAAAUUAUGGUAGGGGCACUCUCUUGAAGGAAUUGAACGGAUAGAGGGACGGAGCUUGCUCUGUAGAUAGAUGAUUACUACCUGGUCGUACGAGGCGCAAGCUGUUUGAGUACUCAGGAACAAAACAUGGCUUAUGGAA